rnacentral:rRNA from 1 species
UACGAAGGGGGCUAGCGUUGCUCGGAAUGACUGGGCGUAAAGGGCGCGUAGGCGGUUUGUACAGUCAGGUGUGAAAUUCCCGGGCUCAACCUGGGGGCUGCACUUGAUACGUAUGGACUGGAGUGGGGAAGAGGGUCGUGGAAUUCCCAGUGUAGAGGUGAAAUUCGUAGAUAUUGGGAGGAACACCAGUGGCGAAGGCGGCUCACUGGACCGGUACUGACGCUGAUGCGCGAAAGCGUGGGGAGCAAACAGGG